rnacentral:rRNA from 1 species
CCUACGGGUGGCUGCAGUGAGGAAUAUUGGUCAAUGGGCGUAAGCCUGAACCAGCCAAGUCGCGUGAGGGAUGAAGGUUCUAUGGAUCGUAAACCUCUUUUAUAAGGGAAUAAAGUGUGGGACGUGUCCUGUUUUGUAUGUACCUUAUGAAUAAGGAUCGGCUAACUCCGUGCCAGCAGCCGCGGUAAUACGGAGGAUCCGAGCGUUAUCCGGAUUUAUUGGGUUUAAAGGGUGCGUAGGCGGCAUUUUAAGUCAGCGGUGAAAGUCUGUGGCUCAACCAUAGAAUUGCCGUUGAAACUGGGGGCCUUGAGUAUGUGAGAGGCAGGCGGAAUGCGUGGUGUAGCGGUGAAAUGCAUAGAUAUCACGCAGAACCCCGAUUGCGAAGGCAGCCUACCAAGCCAUGACUGACGCUGAUGCACGAAAGCGUGGGGAUCAAACAGGAUUAGAUACCCCAGUAGUC